GACGAACGCUGGCGGCGUGCUUAACACAUGCAAGUCGAACGAAGAGCGAUGGAAGCUUGCUUCUAUCCAUCUUAGUGGCGAACGGGUGAGUAAUGCGUAAUCAACCUGCCCUUCAGAGGGGGACAACAGUUGGAAACGACUCCUAAUACCGCAUACGAUCUAAUCUCGGCAUCGAGGAUAGAUGAAAGGUGGCCUCUACAUGUAAGCUAUCACUGAAGGAGGUGAUUGCGUCUGAUUAGCUAGUUGGAGGGGUAACGGCCCACCAAGGUGAUGAUCAGUAGCCGGUCUGGGAGGAAGAACGGCCACAUUGGGACUGAGAAACGGCCCAGACUCCUACGGGAGGCAGCAGGGGGGAAACAUCCGAAAUGGACGAAAGUCUGACGGAGCAACGCCGCGUGGGAGAUGACGGGCUUCGGGUUGUAAAGCUCUGUUAAUCGGGACGAAAGGGAUUCUUGCGAAUAGGGAGAAGGAUUGACGGUACCGGAAGAGAAAGCCACGGCUAACUACGUG
rnacentral:rRNA from 1 species